rnacentral:lncRNA from 1 species
AUUUCGGAUCCAAGCUUGACGGUGGGAGCCAAUUCCGGAUCUAAGACGGAAGAUUGAAGAAAUUCAGAGGAUAAGGUUAGGAGAAGAAUAAGUUUGAAGGGGGGUUUUUUUUUUUCUCUGGGAAUCGGAGGGAGCUAGUUUCAAGCUUUUGCAAGGUUACUAGUUCGGUUUUCAUUGGAGGUUUUUGAAGAUCAAGGAG